rnacentral:tRNA from 1 species
AGGUUUGACUCCUCUUUUUACCA